CAGGGGGCGGGCUGAGGGGGCUCGCGUCGCCUGAGUGACAGCCGAGCAGCAGCAUCCUCGGGGCUCCCCUUCGGCGGUGGCUGGCGUUAUGAAGUGCACAGCUGUGUCCACUGCAGGAGGGCAGCCCCGCGAACCUUCAUGCUUCCCGGGGACCCCCACCCGCAGGCGCCCUGGAGGUCUCAGCGGAGGACCCCGGUGCAACCCUGCAGAACUCAGGCCUCGGGGGACCCCGGGCGCCGCUGUGAGUCCUGAGACCCCGGCCCAGGCCGCACCCUGUGUACAGCUUGCAUGCGGCUUCGGGGGACCAAGGAUCUGGGGUGCGGUAGGGGCCCGCUCCAGGACGGGACCGGCUGGCGCCCCCGGCUUGCUGCGCGGGGCCCGGGAGGGCGGGGGCGGGGCGCAGCGAAGCCUGAUUCUGCGCCCUGGAACAUUCUGGUAAUUAAAAUAAAAUGAAAGGAAGAAGCCAGGCCAGGUUCCCCUUCGGUCCUGCGGGUGCCGGGCCGCGCGCUGCCCCCACUCCCCACCCCGGGCGCGGAAGGGAAAUUCCCGCGCUCUGACGUCAUCUAGAGGUCGGACUCGGGGAAGCUGCGCGGCCACACCCCUGCCUGCCGGCUACCAGCUUCCCUGCCCUGCCGCUGGCCCUGCCGCUGCGCACUGCGCGCGGUUUGUCCCCAGAGCGGAGAAGGAGCAGGGGACGGAGGCUCUGCAGGAAGUGGCCCGGCCCUGGGCACCGCUUCUGGGGAUCUAGGCGAGGGUGAAGCGGCACCACGGCUGGCCUCAGCCGGGCCCCGGGAGCUGCCGGUCUGUUCCUGUGCCAUCCUGUUGCAGCCUCUGUCGGCGCAUUUGCCUGGUAUUAACGGAAGCACUGGACACUGCUCUGUGCCUGCUCCUCCAGCGUUGACAAUGGUCAUUUCCACCUAACCGACCCCGAGCCUUGGAAAUGAUGCAAAAGUUAGGGGCGGGCAGUGUGGUCCAGUGAGCUAACUUGCCACUUAAGGCUCCUGCGUCCCAUAUCCGAGUGGCUGCUCCACCUCCCAUCCUGCUCCCAGCCAACGCCCGGGCAGGCAGCAAAUGAUGACCCAAGUGCUUGGGCCCCGCCACCCACGUGGGAGACAAGGACGGAGUUCCAGGCUCCUGGCUGUGGCCUGGCUGGAAUGAAGCAGCUAACAGAACUGCUCGCGCUCGCUCUCUCUGCCUUUCAAGUAAAAGAAAAUAAAAAAAUUUAAAGAGAAAACAAGUUAGGAGCCAAUUCGCAGGCAGUGGAAAAUUUUUAACAAUCUUCUUAAAGCUAUGAUUCCACCAUUUUGCAUCAGAGAAAGGAUUCUGCUGAGGAGGGAGGGGGGUCUCGGUCACGGAGCGUGGGUGGGGGGCUUCGCUCUGUCCAGUGCCAUGUUCGGGUGAGGAAUCACGGCCAGGGUCAGCCCCGAUGUGCAAAGACAGCAGGCGGUCGGAGUGAUCUUAGGGGAAACACCCAGCCCACGGUCCUCCAAGCUUGUGCGGGGCGGACCUCAUGGGCGUGGAUCGUCAGGCGGGGAGGCUGUGGGCGGUGGGAGCCCCUGGGAGCCAUGGCCACCUUGAGCCUCAGUUGCCUGCUGGGUGCCCAGCGAGUCCCCACGUGAGUGGUCACCUCGUGAGGACUGAGGCUUGGCCACCCUGGGCCCGUUCUGCAGGAAUGCUCACCGAUGGGCCCUGGUGACGGCUCUGGGCAGCAGGCGUCCCCGUGUCCUCACUGUGUCUUGGGGCCACAGCACCUAGGGCAUUGUCUCAGCUCAGCCUUGUCUUCCAGAGAAUUGCCUCCCGACGGCAGGGGACGUGGCUGUCAGCUGAUCUCAGCGUCCACAGUCAACGGCAGAAUGUGCUGAGCCCCCUGGCCGUGUGCUGAGCCCCCUGGCCGCGUGCAGAGCCCCUGGCCGCGUGCAGAGCCCUCUGGCCAUGUGCAGAGGCCCUGGCCGUGUGCCAAGCCCCCUGGCCAUGUUCAGAGGCCCCUGGCCGUGUGCAGAGCCCCCUGGCUGUGUCCUCAGGCCAACACAGUCGAGCUGCUGGAGAACAGCGUGGGGAAUCCAGAUCCUCCCAGAUGGUCCCGGGUGCACCAGCAGAGCUGAGCAGCUGAGGCCACUUCCGCCUGAGCACUCCCAGGUCUGGGCCCCCACCUGCCUUUAUCCUUGGCGACCCACCCUCACCCCCAUCUCACCCCGGGCACUCCCCGCUGCCCCGCCCAGCCGCUGUCUGUCCCUGUUUGUCCGCUGUCUGCCCCUGUGCGUACCGCUUCAGCGGCCUGGGCUGUGUUCUCCCUUGGCGUCCGUGGCUCUGUGUCCUGGCCAGGUGUCUCCCAGGUCCCACCCUCAGAGACCCGCAGCAGACUGCCAGCUCGCGCCCCAGGACCACCCCAGACCACGUCACCGUCAACAGGGCAUCCUCCUCGGACUGGCCCCGGCUCCCUCCCGGGAGUCCCUGCCUCGCUCAGGGCCCCGAGUUCCAACAGACUCUUGCCGGGGGCUCCGGAGACUGCUGCGAACCACCCGGAGCCGCGCACUUCCCCAAGGCUCGCGGCCCCCACGCCGGUGCCCACCACGGUCCUGACGGUCUGCUGGCCUCUGGCCACACUCGCCCAGGCCUAGUGUGCACACAGCAGCCAAGCCUGCCGGUGGCUGCCCGAGUGUCCCCGGGCAAGGACCGCACCUCAGGCCCGUGGACAAGGCCGUGCCUCACCCUGGCCUUCCCACGCCUGCCACGAGGCCUCCGCCCACCCUCCCUCCCUCGAGGCUGUCCCGCCCCACCCAGCCCAGUCGCCAACACGGGCCCAGGGCCGCCCUCGAAUGUUUGUGUAGGAUAUCAGCCCCCGGCGGCUCCUGGCCGUGCCCGGCUGACGCAGACUGGCACACCUUCGGCACCUAAUAAAUAAUGAGCCACCCACCAGACCGGGCCUGCGCUUCUGCCCGCGCCCUCAGUCCACGCACCACGUGGUGCCCACGCCCGGGCUCCUCCCUGGGACGCCCCGCGCCCCCUCAGGCUGUGCCCCACCUAAGGGUCUCCGGCGGGACUGGGCCAGGCCGGCCGCCGCCCCCUGCCCCAGCGUCUCCCUCGGCGCUGGCUGGCUGGGGCUGCCUGGCUCCGCUUUGUCUUCCUCUGCCUCCUGCCGCCCCAGGAACUGUACGUAUGGCAAAAGCGACGCUGUAACUGCCCCGGAGACAAACCUGGAGGGAUGGAGUCCGCUCAGGGCCGCGUGAGCAACGCCACGGCCACUUCCCGUUCCCUGCCUUUUCUCCGGGCGGGUCUGGGCCCGUGACGUCCGUUCUCACGCUGGCGGCCACGGCCACGGCCACGGUGCUGUGGGGCCGCGUGGCCGGCUCCCUUGUUCCAUGCAUUUGCCCUUUAGUGGCUCGGGGACGUUCUCCGAAGCAGCGGCAAAGCUGUAGCAGCAGGGAGUGGGCGAGGGACCUGGCACAGCCUCCGGGAGCCAUCGGCAUCGCCGCUGAAAGGUGCCCACGGAGGCACGGACGGGUAGACAGAACGCCGUCACUUGGACUUGCAAAGGGUGAAGAUGCCGGCACCUCCUUCGUGGUGAACUGGCCGGCAUUCCGCCGAGGAGUGAGCCCUUCCCACAGCCCCAGUGUGAGCUCCUUGGGGCAGUGGUGACCACAGGGACAGAGGGCAGAGCAGUGGCUGUCAGGGUCUGGGCGGGGCCCGGGGAUUGGGGUUCAGUGGGGACAGAGUUUGGGCUCUGCAGAGGCAGAGUUCUGGAGGCGGAUGGUGGUGACGGCUGGGAAUGUCCCGGACCCCCGUGGGCUGCGAGCUCAGAGUCGUGGCCACGGAGGCCUGUGUGGGACCGUGUGUUUCUGUACACGCAGAACCAACAGCACACGGGACGCAGAGGGCGCCCCCCCGGGGGAGUCUGGCGGCUGCUCCGGAGCUGAGCACACGGCUCUGCAGGAACGGUGGGCAGGAGCCCGGGCACAGGCGUGGGCAGUGUCCCGGUGGGGGCAGUGUGGGACGGCCGGGAGCGGGAACGCCCACGCCGCCGAGCAAGGACCCCGCCACAGCAGGAGGCCGAGUGGCCGGGCCUGGAGCAGGGAGUGGCCCACACAUUCCGGAAAGGGCCGUGGAGGCCGGGCCAGCUGACCGUGGGGUAGGAGGGGCAGGAGGGUGGCGGCCGCACGACUCCCCGUCACGCUGUCAGAGUGAGCUGGCUUGCUCCUGAAACCGCGUGGGCGUUGUCACUUGAGCUGCGCCUCGUUCCUGGAACGCCCUGCAGUGCGGUGGGCACUGUGUGGUGCUCGGCCCCAGCAACUCAGGCUCCCGCUGGCCCUGGGCCGGGUGCCCCCUGUGGGGCCUUGGGCAGGUUUCUCGGCUUCUCUGAGCCCCAGGGUCUUCAGCUUCCAUGGGACGAGAGCGAGGACGCUGACCUAGGUCUGCUGGGCGCUGCUGGGCCAAUGGGCCUGGGGACCCCGCGGUCACCCCCCUCUUCCACAACAGCACCGCAGCCCCAGCGGUGGUGGGCUGGGCCCUGGGCUCCGCGAGCUUCUCCAGAACUGGGAAAAUGGAGCAGCGGAAAAAGAAGCACACAGACAAGCAAGCCCGCCCCAGCAGUGGUGUGAGGUGGCAACUGUAACAGAGGGCGGGCGGUGGGGGCCCCCACCUCUCCUGGGUGGAGCCGUUGAGGCAGAGGGAGAGGCAGAGGGAGCCCAGGACAAGGGCAGCUGGCAUUGGGAGCAGCAGGUGCAUGGCCCUGGGGAGAGGCAGAGGUGGCCGGUGUGGCCAGGAUGGAGCAGGAAGGGCCAGGGGAGGCCUGGGGUGAGCUCCAGGCCUCUGGGGGCUCCUCUGCGCCCCGCCGGAGUUUGAAUGGCACCUGCGCCUGCACCCUGGCCUUGCUGGGGCCCCAGCACCCAGCAGGCUGCUGGGAGGGGUUCCACAUGGCAGGUUUCACGCUUGGCUGAGGAAGGUGGGGGCUGCCGUGGGCCUGGCUAGCCCAGCACCUCGUGGUGGGUGACUCACAGCCGGUUUGUCCAUACAGGAAAUGGAAAAAUCCCCAGAGUGCUCAUGAGUACUUUCCUCGUAGCCCUUAACACUUGGGUCCCAAACGGCCUGCAGCGCGUCAGUCAGCCUCUGUCUCGGCUCGCUCCUGGGGACACCACAGCAGUGUCCCUGCCGGCCACCUGGGGCGGAGCUGGGAGCAGUAAAGUCUUUACAUGGAGUCGAGACCCUCGUUUGCUUUGUAGGCAAACUGACGGCUGCUGUGGUGAUGGUGGUGGUGAUGGUGGUGGUGAUGGUGGUGGUGGUAAUGGUGGUGAGGGUGAUGAUGGUGGUGAUGGUAAUGGUGGUGAUGAGGAUGGCGAUGGUGAUGGUGGUGAUUUCGGGGUAUGAGGGCGGCCAUGGCACGCCUCGUGGGGAGGUAGCUGGACCGGCCCUGGGGAGGGUGGUGCGGCCAUAGCCCGGCGGCGGUGCCGCACUUGCAUCGCGCUGUUCCUGGUGCUGCCUUUCGCCUUCGACACCCUCAUGGGCCUGCGCACGCUCAAGGCUCCAGACGGAGCCCCCGUUUUGGGCCCAGGCCUGGAACUGGCGCCCUUUGAGCGGUGGCCGGAGGGGGCCCCAGUGCCCACCGCCCGGGCCCCUGCCGCACCGCCACCUCCACCUCCACCCUGCACUGUGGAGCCAGGCCCCACCCCCCAGGCUGUGGAGUGCCAUCGUCCCGGCUGCCUGCAGGUGCUGUGGGAGGUGGCCACCGGGCGGGGCCGGCGGAGAGGACCCCCAAGGAGUCCACUCUCGACCGGAGCUCAGUCUGGGCGCGCGGCCCCUCGGCAGCGUGUGACCCAGGCGUAAGUGUUUCUGGGGGCCCCAAGGCUGCUCAGAGGCACUGCACCUGGGCCAUCACGGAGCCCGCAGCGUUGGCAGACAGCGCCCCGGUGCCCGGAGGCCCCUCGCGAGUCCAGCGGCAGCCUCUCCUCCAGCGGGCCCCAGGGGGAGGACGGUGAGGAGGCGGACGCCAUCUGCGCAGCGCUGGACAAGAGGGUGGAUGAGAGGAAGUUAGAUGGGCGGAGUCCGAGUGGUUUACGAGGAAACUUUGAUUGGGCACACACAGUGGGCGUGAACCUCUCCCUCUCCCGUGUAGCUGAUGCUUUAAAAGAGGCUCACUGCGCAAUAAUAAUUCAGUGGCUGUUUGACUCGGCUCCUCGCUGCCUCUGUCUCCGGAUCGGCGAGCGGCGCACUUACCCUUCCUCGGGCCCAGUCCACCCUCACCCGGGUGAACUAAGACCCUGCAGAUGAUGGCGGUGGUGGUGGUGAAGAUGGUGAUGGUGAUGAUGAUGAUAGUGGUGGUGACCAGGGUGAUGGUGAUGGUGAUGGUGAUGUUGAUGGUGGUGAUGAUAGCUAUCACCAUGACGAUUAUCUGUGGAGUCUUCCUCGUGCUGGCCCGCACACGCUCACUAGCUCCCUUCCCUGGAGCCACUUUCUGGGCCCGGUGAGGAUCCUGCCUGGCGGCUUCUGCUCGGCCUGCGGCAGCGGGGGCCACAUGACCCUGGUCCGGGCCGCGUUAGCUUUUGCAAGAACGGAUGAAACUGAAACCUUUACUUGGAAAUCUUUACUUGGCAGCCUUUACUGUGAGAUCUUUACUUCUGUGGAUAAAGUGAACUGGAAGCGAAUCUGACCGGAGAACGGGAGAGGAGGAGGAGGCUGGGCAGCCUCCGUGCUCCUAGAGCCUUGCUUACCACAUUCGUGCUCCUGAAAUAAAAGAUGUUUUUGGAAAAAAAAAAGAGAGAGAGAGAAUGGAUGAAAACACGGGGGAUUCCGCUGGGCCUGGCAGCUCCGCCAGUUCCUCCAGCUGUGAGCGGGAGCGGGGAGGAGUCCAGGCAACACGAGGACAGAGAGCUCGAGAAGCCUCGCCUCGAAGGAGGCAAGAGAGCAAAGGUGGGGGCCCCACAUGGGUGGUUCCGGAAGCAGCCCCCCACUCCAGGCUG